rfam:Picea glauca, whole genome shotgun sequence.
UAUGUAAUUCCUACAAUGUUAAUGCACCAUAUCCCAUUAUAACUCUACACUUAAGUGUGCUUUGGCUAGAGUAGUACUAUGAUGGGUGACCUCCCAGGAAGUCCUAGUGUUUUACAUGC